UGUUAUGGGCAGCAAAUAAUAGUAAUUUCCUUUUGGGAAUCUAUAUACUUUUAAUUUUUUAAGACAUACCUUCGUUUUUCAAAAUAUUUGUUAUCUUGAUAUCGAGAAUUCUGUGAUUUUAAAACUUCCCAUAAUGUAGGGUGGUCCUCAUCCUAUUGAACGUUAUAUUUCCUAUGAAUAUCAAAAAUCAAUUCCAAAUGUAAAGUAAAUAAAAAAUUCUUCAAACAAAGACAAAGGUAAGUAAGAAGGACCAUGCACGUGUAAUUUUUCGGAGUUUCCAGUAAUAAACCCUCAAAUAUAUUGUAUUAUUUUAAUUAAUUAUCGAGAAUACUGAAAAUUUCUUAUAGUGUAAGGUGAUCCUUAACUCCAAAUUAAAUAAAACAAUUAGAGAGGAUCGUAGAGAACGUUAUUUUAUUAUUGAUUACAGGUAGGCAUAUGAAAAUGUUUAUUAAUUGAAGAACGUAGAAUUUAAAACAAUGUUAUUAAGAAUAAUUUCAAGUUCCAAAAAAUAGCUGCAUAUGUAUAAAGUACAAAACAAAACAUUUUUGUUAUCUUGAUAUCGAGAAUUCUGUGAUUUUAAUAUUUUCAGUUCCUAUAGUGUAGGGUGGUCCUCAUCCCCAAAUAUAUUUCCUAUGAAUAUCAAAAAUAAAUUCGAAAUGUGAAGUAAAUAAGUAAUUCUUCCAACAAAGAUGAAGGCAUCUUGUAUUAUAUAAGUAAUCAAUUAUAUAUUUAUUUCAUAGCUAUCCCGCAACCUUUGUACGAGUCAAUUAAAAGUUACAAUUAAUUGGCUCAACAGGCAUGGGUGGUUGAGGCCAGUGUUUGGGACUUGAGAAAAGACGAAUCAUACUUUAAACCUCCUGAUCCUUUAUCCAUUGAAGGAAGCCUUGCUGAUAACUGGCAAAAAUUUUAACAAAAAUUCCAAAAUUUUCUGACUGCUACAAGUUUAAGCAAUGAAAAUGAUGAAAAAAAUGUUGCAAUUCUAUUGAACUUAGUUGGUGAUGAUGGUCUUGAUUUAUUUAACUCUUUUGAUCCGUUAUCGGAGACCCAGAAAACUCUUGAUAAUGUUUUGAAAAAAUUUAGAGAUCACUGUGAACCAAAGAGAAAUGUUAUACAUGAAAGGUUCUUAUUUAACAGUUUAAUGCAAGAAGAGGGAUAAAGUUUCGAUAGUUUUCUGACAGAAUGGGGAAUUCUCCUCAAUUUGGGUUUUUGUAUUAAAUGAAAGUUUACAUCAAAUAACUAUAGAUUAAAUAUAAAUUAAUUUUUAAUUCACUCUCUAAAUACCUAAAAUAAUUAUUAGAAAUGUUGGUUUUUAAACUUUAAAGCGUUUUGUUGCUACAGCACAUGUUGGCAACAGCGCUUUAGCAUGCCUUCUCCGAGACAGAAACGGAAGAUCCCAAAAACACACACAAGACAGAGAAGGAAAUGAAACAGCUGUUUAUGGAAUACAUGUAAUCCUAUGCCGUAAAUAACCUAACUUUUUGUUACGAUUGUUGUUGUUGCGGUAUGGAGUGUUGCGGUUAUACAAGUUAGUUUAGUUGUGAUUUUUGCGAGUUUAUUGUGAAUUUUAUGACUUAUUAGUGGCUUAUUUAAAUUUUAUGACUAGAUACAAACAUUAUAAUAUUAUUUCAUUCCCUCAUUGAGAAUAAGUUUAAAAAUUAAAGAAUGUAAGGUUGAUUUUUAUACAGUUUGUAUUUUCAGGAUAAAUAAUCAAUAUUUCAAUAUGAAAAAGCUGUGUUUUGUACCUUCAUGUUUAAAUUCAUCGGAAAGUACACCCCAUAAAUUAUUUAUAUUUGCUCCGAGAAAUCCAGUAGUGAGAAAAACUUGGUUUGAUGCUGUUGGGCGUACAUUAGUAAAAACAACAUCAUAUUGUUGUGAAGAUCAUUUUAAUUUAAAAGAAGAUUCUAUAGACUGGGAAAAGUCCACGUAUUAAAACUGGCAUCAUACCUCAUUUAUUUCUACAAGAUAGUUGCAAAGAUUUCAGUUUUACACAACUUCAACAAAAACAAGAAAUAUCAUCUGAGGGUGAGGAAAAUACUGAACCUGAACAUCCAUGCAUCUCAACUACAUUUAAAAAUAAUAGAGAUGAAAUGUACUUGGAGACAUUGCCAUCUACUUCUUCUAGUACUUCUUCAUGGUUACAAACUACAUCUAGUGAAGAACAAUUUAACAGUGAUCUAAGUGAACACGAGGAGCAAAAUGUAGACUUUAAAAAUUUUAGUGAAAAAAGAGAAAUCCUUGCGAUUGAAAUGCACCCUUGAUUUUAUUUAGGUUUAACUAGUGAAGUUUACUAUUUAGUGAAAAUUAUAUAUAUUCAUCAGAAAAGACAUACUAGUAGUUUUGAAAAAGGUUAGAUUAAACAAUAUAUUUUUUCGAUUAGGUUUGGAUUAUUGAGAUUUUUCCUAUUAAACUUACUAUAUAUUGCUGUUUGUUUUUAGGUGUAUAUACAUAUUUAACUCUUUUUGAGAUAAGUUAUGUACAACUAAAAAACGAGAAUACAACAUUGUGAAACUAUUUUAUUUAUAAAUCCUAGUUAACUUUGGAAAUACGUAUUUUUUCCAGAAUAGUAAACUAUUUUCAAUUAACUCGUUACAAUAAAUUUCAUUACACGUAACAUUAUGUAUAUAAAUUUUAUUAUUUGUUUCAAAUUCUGGAUCUGCAACUGGAAAAAUUGCUUUAGUCUUCUUACACAUUUUCAUUAGCAACUGCAUCUGACCCAUGUAUUUUUCAAUAAUUUUUCCAUCCUUGACAAAAUUACUUAUACUAGUCAAUGGGCAUUUCACUUCUAGGACUGCAUCACUUGAAAUGGCAUCAGGGGAGGCUCCAAAGACUGGUAACAUAUUAUUUAAAACAAGUCCACAUUUCGUUGUUUCAAUUCCACAUAUAUUUUCAAUGCAUUUUAUAACCCUGUCUUCUAAUUCUAAGCCUCUCUCCAUGGCUUUUGUCUGCACAAUUUUUGUAGCACCAAAAAUUUUCUCGAGUAAAGAACCUUCUGUUUUACACCGGCUUGCCUCAUAAAUCUUCGAAGCUGUACUCCGUCCAAAUCUUAAUUCAUACCAGUUUAUAUUUUUGGACUGGUUUCUUGUAGCCUCUGAAGCAAGUGCACAAUCAUUUGCAUCCAUUUUUUUUAACAGUACUCUAAGAAAAAUUCUGGAGUUAUGUUGAUAUCAGCAUUUUCUAUUUGACAAUGAAUAAAUAGCUGGUGUAACGAUAAAGUAGGAUACGAAGGACCUCUAUCCAUAUUUAGUAACAAACUAUCUAUGGAUUUUCCUUUAUUAUGUUCUCUAAAAUUCUCUAUUACUACAGAUGAGUUUUCAUCAGUCAUUGAUGGAACUAUUACCAUUUCAGACAAUUUCAUAAAUUUUUUCAGCGAACCUACUUUCGAUAAUUCUGAUUUCUUCCAAUAACAUAACUGUUCUGUAGGAGAUGGUUCCUCACUUCUCCUAUGCAAGCAAAAUAAAAACGCUAUCGCAUGUUUACAGCCACCUUUGGCAGCAGCACAAUCCUCACAUUCACAUAGAUUGAUUAUAUUCUCAUUUACUAUGACAUUUACAUCAUAAGCUUUUGAAUGUACUUUAUCUUCUGGC